GGGUGAUGGUGAUGGUGGUGGGGGUGAUGGCGUGUACUCUACACACGGUGGUGGUGGUGGUGGUGGUGGAGGUGGCUCAAUACAUGGAGGAGGUGACGGUGGUGGUGGUGAGUGAACUGGAGGAGGUGGGGAAUAAACAGGAGGUGGCGGCGGCGGUGGAGAUAAGUAUGGAUAAAUUGGUGGAGGAGGUGAAUGUGGUGGUGGUGGUGGAGAAUGUACCGGAGGUGGCGGUGAAUGGUGUGGCGGUGGCGGGGAGUUAUAGUAGUAAGGAACUGGUGGAGGUGGGGAAAACAAUGGAGGUGGUGGAGGGGGUGAAUUUGGUGGUGGAGGAGGUGGAGACCUCACACAGUAUACUGGUGAAGGUGGUGGAGGAGAUGGUGGAGGUGGUGAUGGAUAAGUAGGUGGCGGGGGUGAUGGUGGAGGUGGGGAUGGAGGUGGUGGUGGUGGAGAGUAAACUGGUGGAGGUGGUGAAGGUGGUGGAGGUGAGGGGGGUGGUGGUGGAGGUGAAUACACAGGUGGCGGGGGCGAUGGUGGAGGCGGAGGAGGAGAGUACACAGGUGGCGGCGGAGGUGGAGGUGGUGAAGGGGGAGGGGGAGAGUAUACUGGCGGUGGCGGCGGCGGAGGUGGUGAUUGUGGAAUAAAAACAGGCGAUGGGGGUGGCGGUGACAGCACAACAACCGGCGGCGGAGAAGGCGGAGGAGGAGACGGCAAAGAAGGAACAAAAGGAGCACAUCUAAAUGAAUUACAAUCCACCGGUCUAGACAAGAAAGACCUACAUUGAGCAGCACUCCGUUGUAAAGGCCUCGCCGGCAAACAGUUCCUCCUAUCGUCAAAAGCACGUAACCCC
rnacentral:lncRNA from 1 species